CAGCUGUCCUUCAAAGGACAAUAGUUGUUCGUAAAUGGAGCACGAUUGUCCUUUCGAGACAACUGUGCAUGCAAAGGUACACCACUCUCAUUCGCCUGGAGAAGAAGGCCGAGGGCAACGGAGAAGAAGGCAACAAUUGACGUAAGUGUCCUAUACAAAGACCCUUCAACGUCAUCAACCCAAAAAUCUCAGGUCCGGUAAGAUCAAAUUACAUCUUCAAUUGAAACAAUUUUCUCCUCCAACCUCAACCCUCACCAUCAACAGUCAUUGUCACCUGCUCAUUAGCCACCGUCUCUUUAAUUCUAAAUUAUUUUCUUUAAAGUGGUGUAUGGUUGCCUUGAAGCAACAUAAAUUUCACAAAUCUGAUUGUGCACCUCAACUCAAUUAAUCGAGAAGAUAUGAAAAUAUCUGUUGCUAGAGAUUUGUUGAAACAUGAACUGAAAUUUUUCUCUGUAAUUUCAAUUCAAGUAACGCAACUGUACUGUAACUUAUGGGAAAACCAAUAUUUUGGUAAUGCGCUCUCAUGAAAAUACAAAUUAAUCGUUCAUU